rnacentral:rRNA from 1 species
UACAGAGGGGGCAAGCGUUGUUCGGAAUUACUGGGCGUAAAGGGCGCGUAGGCGGCCUGCUAAGUCGAACGUGAAAUCCCCGGGCUUAUCCCGGGAACUGCGUCCGAUACUGGUGGGCUUGAAUCCGGGAGAGGGAUGUGGAAUUCCAGGUGUAGCGGUGAAAUGCGUAGAUAUCUGGAGGAACACCGGUGGCGAAGGCGGCAUCCUGGACCGGUAUUGACGCUGAGGCGCGAAAGCUAGGGGAGCAAACGGG